rnacentral:rRNA from 1 species
AGUGAACGCUGGCGGUAGGCCUAACACAUGCAAGUCGAACGGCAGCACAGUAAGAGCUUGCUCUUACGGGUGGCGAGUGGCGGACGGGUGAGGAAUACAUCGGAAUCUACUUUUUCGUGGGGGAUAACGUAGGGAAACUUCCGCUAAUACCGCAUACGACCUACGGGUGAAAGCAGGGGAUCUUCGGACCUUGCGCGAUUGAAUGAGCCGAUGUCGGAUUAGCUAGUUGGCGGGGUAAAGGCCCACCAAGGCGACGAUCCGUAGCUGGUCUGAGAGGAUGAUCAGCCACACUGGAACUGAGACACGGUCCAGACUCCUACGGGAGGCAGCAGUGGGGAAUAUUGGACAAUGGGCGCAAGCCUGAUCCAGCCAUACCGCGUGAGUGAAGAAGGCCUUCGGGUUGUAAAGCUCUUUUGUUGGGAAAGAAAAGCAGCAGGUUAAUACCCCGCUGUUCUGACGGUACCCAAAGAAUAAGCACCGGCUAACUUCGUG